UACGGAGUUACAAAGGACGACAUUAGACGAAUCAUCUGGAAAGAUGAAUCAAAGAAGGUAAUAAUCCUGUAGUCGAAAAUGUUGUCUCUCUUGAGUGGAUCCUGAGUACGACGGAGCACGUGAAAUUCCGUCGGAAUCUGGGAGGACCAUCUCCUAAGGCUAAAUACUCUCUAGUGACCGAUAGUGAACCAGUACCGUGAGGGAAAGGUGAAAAGCACCCCGGAAGGGGAGUGAAAUAGAACCUGAAACCGUGUGCUUACAAGUAGUCAGAGCCCGUUAAUGGGUGAUGGCGUGCCUUUUGUAGAAUGAACCGGCGAGUUACGAUUUGAUGCAAGGUUAAGCAGUAAAUGUGGAGCCGUAGCGAAAGCGAGUCUGAAUAGGGCGUUUAGUAUUUGGUCGUAGACCCGAAACCAGGUGAUCUACCCUUGGUCAGGUUGAAGUUCAGGUAACACUGAAUGGAGGACCGAACCGACUUACGUUGAAAAGUGAGCGGAUGAACUGAGGGUAGCGGAGAAAUUCCAAUCGAACCUGGAGAUAGCUGGUUCUCUCCGAAAUAGCUUUAGGGCUAGCCUCAAGUGAUGAUUAUUGGAGGUAGAGCACUGUUUGGACGAGGGGCCCCUCUCGGGUUACCGAAUUCAGACAAACUCCGAAUGCCAAUUAAUUUAACUUGGGAGUCAGAACAUGGGUGAUAAGGUCCGUGUUCGAAAGGGAAACAGCCCAGACCACCAGCUAAGGUCCCAAAAUAUAUGUUAAGUGGAAAAGGAUGUGGCGUUGCCCAGACAACUAGGAUGUUGGCUUAGAAGCAGCCAUCAUUUAAAGAGUGCGUAAUAGCUCACUAGUCGAGUGACACUGCGCCGAAAAUGUACCGGGGCUAAACAUAUUACCGAAGCUGUGGAUUGUCCUUUGGACAAUGGUAGGAGAGCGUUCUAAGGGCGUUGAAGCAUGAUCGUAAGGACAUGUGGAGCGCUUAGAAGUGAGAAUGCCGGUGUGAGUAGCGAAAGACGGGUGAGAAUCCCGUCCACCGAUUGACUAAGGUUUCCAGAGGAAGGCUCGUCCGCUCUGGGUUAGUCGGGUCCUAAGCUGAGGCCGACAGGCGUAGGCGAUGGAUAACAGGUUGAUAUUCCUGUACCACCUAUAAUCGUUUUAAUCGAUGGGGGGACGCAGUAGGAUAGGCGAAGCGUGCGAUUGGAUUGCACGUCUAAGCAGUAAGGCUGAGUAUUAGGCAAAUCCGGUACUCGUUAAGGCUGAGCUGUGAUGGGGAGAAGACAUUGAGUCUUCGAGUCGUUGAUUUCACACUGCCGAGAAAAGCCUCUAGAUAGAAAAUAGGUGCCCGUACCGCAAACCGACACAGGUAGUCAAGAUGAGAAUUCUAAGGUGAGCGAGCGAACUCUCGUUAAGGAACUCGGCAAAAUGACCCCGUAACUUCGGGAGAAGGGGUGCUCUUUAGGGUUAACGCCCAGAAGAGCCGCAGUGAAUAGGCCCAAGCGACUGUUUAUCAAAAACACAGGUCUCUGCUAAACCGUAAGGUGAUGUAUAGGGGCUGACGCCUGCCCGGUGCUGGAAGGUUAAGAGGAGUGGUUAGCUUCUGCGAAGCUACGAAUCGAAGCCCCAGUAAACGGCGGCCGUAACUAUAACGGUCCUAAGGUAGCGAAAUUCCUUGUCGGGUAAGUUCCGACCCGCACGAAAGGCGUAACGAUUUGGGCACUGUCUCAACGAGAGACUCGGUGAAAUCAUAGUACCUGUGAAGAUGCAGGUUACCCGCGACAGGACGGAAAGACCCCGUGGAGCUUUACUGUAGCCUGAUAUUGAAAUUCGGCACAGCUUGUACAGGAUAGGUAGGAGCCUUUGAAACGUGAGCGCUAGCUUACGUGGAGGCGCUGGUGGGAUACUACCCUAGCUGUGUUGGCUUUCUAACCCGCACCACUUAUCGUGGUGGGAGACAGUGUCAGGCGGGCAGUUUGACUGGGGCGGUCGCCUCCUAAAAGG
rnacentral:rRNA from 1 species